rnacentral:rRNA from 1 species
UACGUUCCCGGGCCUUGUACACACCGCCCGUCAAGCCAUGGAAGUCAGGGAGACCUGAAGAUCGUGCCCGUUACAGGAGCGAUUUAGGGUAAAACUGGUAACUGGGGCUAAGUCGUAACAAGGUACCC